CAAGCGUGACUCAAAAUCACGUGACGGGCGCAUUUGAAGCAAGCCUCGAAGCGGCGCUUCGAAAGCUCGACACAGUGUCGAAACCUGAGUAUCGAGCGGCCCAUCACUAGUUUGAAGUAAGUUAAUGUUUAUUGUGGUAUGUACUGCGCAAUAUGAAAGCAAAAGGUAUCGCAAUGAAAACUAAUGGAUGCAUCACGUACUGAAUGCUUUCCGAACCAAAGGAUUAAAACGGGAGGUGAAUAAGAAGAGAUGCAAUUGUUUGGAAAUCCUACCAUCAACACCGGUCCCUAUUCAAAAAUGGAAAAUGUGGGGAAUGUUAAAUUUAGGUCUCCUGUAUUAAAGGAUGUUUGUAAAGAAAUAACUUUUGACUUGAAAAAUCAAACAUGGUAUGUAUGCAUUUGACAGGUGAAAAUGUGUCCUAAAAUGAAGCACUUUUUAUAAAAAGGCCAGCCCUGCUCAACUAUCAGUCAUCCUGCACAACAGUCUUUCAACCAGCCCCCCUCCCUUUCUCAGAAGACCAAAUCACAAAUUUUUUUCAUGCCACAUGUUUCGGUUUGGUUUUGAUUUACUUCCACAUUUAUGUGAGAACUUGCACAAGCAAAUAUUAGAACAUUAGAACACUCUAGACGAGAACAGGCCAUUCAGCCCAACAAAGCUUGCCAGUCCUAUCUACUUGCUUCUUCCAAAAAAAAUCAAGUCAAGUUUUGAAAGACCCUGAAGUCUUAGUGUCUACUUGGCAGCUUAUUCCAAAUGUCUAUGGUUCUUUGUCUAAAGAAAAACUUCCUAAUAAUUAUGCGAAAUGUACCCUUAAAUUUCCAACUGUGUUCCCGUGUUCUUGAUGAACUCAUUUUAAAAUAGCAGUCUCAAUCAACUGGACUAAUUCCCUUCAUAAUUUUAAACACUUCAGUCAUGUCACCUCUUAAUAUUCUUUUGCUAAAACUGAACACAUCCUUACCAAGAGAAAAAUAGUACCAGGAAUAUGCAGUAAAAUUUCCAGCUUCCCUCUUUUUUGUUGUCACAGACAUGCCCUGAAAACGGAUUGUGUGGAUCAAAACUCAUUGUCUGUCAUUUCUUGAAAAACUGACAUUUUUUGUUUGCUUUUCUUCUGUGGCACAUAAAUCAAUUGUAAAGCACCAGUGCAGGCAAGAAAGAUUUAAAAAUUUAUGGAAAGUGCUUAACUUUUGAAUAGUUUUGUGUGGGAAAUGCAUAUACAGGGUAUACCAUGAUAGUUUUGUUCAGGUUUGUAAAAGCAUUAAACAUAAUAUAUAGCAAAUUAGAGAUCUGUUUAGAUAACGUGACCCCCUGUUAUAUGCUGAUGCUUUUGUUACUUAAUGUGCUAGAAUACAAAUACAGCACCAUCAAAUUAAAAAAAAAAAAACAUCAGUGUCAAAAUACUUUUUCAAGAUCGUUCUGUAGUUAUAUGGUAGUUUCACAUUAUCACAUAUAAGCUAUUGUCAGUGUUGCAACAGUGUAGCCACCAAUGCAUGUAAUGUUUACUUUUAAAUGCCAUUGGAUAUUUCUAAUUGUUAAGAAUUGGCUAUGCACUGGCAUCUGGUUCACAGGGUUGCCAUAACCGCAUCAUGGGCCCCUGGGUAAAGUGUUGUGCUGGGACCCCUGUUUUGAUAGCAAAACAGAAACAUACAUAAGCAUCAGAAAUAUUGUUGGCCCCUGUGCCUCCUGGGGUCCUCAGCCAGUGCCCAUACAUUAAGACUGCAUUGCUGUUCAGACAUACACAUCAGUGGCAUUCUGAAGUUCAUCCUGCUAUCUGUAUUCACACAGACCUGGUGCUUCUCCAUAAAGCCACAGAUGGCCAGUGCAGCUCUUGGUCCUUAAAUAGCUUAUCUCAGUUCUUGAGGAAAAUAGGCUUUUCUAUGCAAUUUCCUCAUCAAUAUAGUGAACCAUUAUGUUCAAAUAUUCUUCUAUGGUUAUAGUCAACCACAUAUCAGCUGUGGUUACAUAAAGUGGCACAUCUUUCAGAUCCUUUUAAAUUGCUUAACAUUUGGAAUAAAGUAAACACAGUGCAACUUCAGAAGAGGGGUGACGUACCCCUUAACCUGAGUGAUGGAUCCUUUUUUUUUUUUUCUUUCUUUUUAAAAGACCAUUGUGUACAGUUUCAAUGGGAGUCUUUGGAUAAAUAGAAUGUAGUGACUCUUUUAUCUGAUUUUUACUUUCAAUAGUGCUGUAUACAGACAUGCCUUAUAGUGUAAACAGAUAAUGGUUAUACACAGGUAUACACUGGAAAAAGCUUUAAUUAGUUUGUCAUUUUUAUCCAUUUUUGUGCAAUGAAUUAAAAAAAUAAAACUUUUUCUGCAUCAUGUAAUGUUGUUCACAAAAAAUGUAUUAGCUGUCAAUUAUCACUUUUUUGUCUUUGCACUAACAAUAAAUGUUGAUUUUAUUGUAAUAGUAAUGUUUGCCUUUAUGCUUUGAAAUAUUGUCUAUUUAAAACAAAUUGAUUUGUUUUAUUUGGUAAGGUUAGAAUAUAGCUGUAACUGAAGCUGGUGAUGAGUCACAGUAGCAGGUUAUUAGCAUGUGAUGCCAUUAGAAACAUGUCUGGUUCUUUUCUUUCCCUCACCAACGAUACACAUCACAGUAUCAUGGUAAUAAACACGCACUUAGUUUGACUCGGGCAGUUGAUCAGUGCACACUUAAAUAUGACAUUGGGUUCAUAAAAAAUGGCCAAUUAAGGAGGAAAAAAAAAGCUACAGCUUGGUGCUAAAAACAUCAGACCUCUGGGUAGCUCCAGAUAAAGUACUGCUACCACAUAUCAGGUUUGGUUUAAUGAAGCAGUUUGUCAAAACCCUAUGUAACAAUCCAGUCUGAUUUAUUCAUUUGUGCUGAAAAUAUAUGGGUUUGCCUGAGCUUAAAUUGAAAGUGGGCAUUUUUGACAGACCUGACAUCAGAACACGGAUUGACGUUGCAGAAUUUGAUGUGGCAAUGAACAUCCUGGAACGAGAAGCUUGGAUGUUAUUUAAAGAAGUAAUUUCUAUGUUUUUAGAUAAUGAUAAAUAUCUGAAUGAUAGAGAAAUUGUGAAAAAUUAAAUAGUUGAUUAGUUAAAUUUAAGGGUUUGGGUUUCAGAAUGAGUCUCAAAGUUCAGAUUUUGGCUUUGCAUUUGGAAUUUUUCCUGAAAUUCUUGGAUCAGUGAGUGAAGAGCAGGGUGAAAGAUUGUCAGGAAAUCAAGGACACGGAAAGGAGGCACUAGGGAUGUUGGGAUUAUCGGUAUGAUAACAGACUUCA